AGAGUUUGAUCAUGGCUCGAGGACGAACGCUGGCGGCGUGCCUAACACAUGCAAGUCGAACGGACGAAGGGAGCUUGCUCCCUUAGUUAGUGGCGAACGGGUGAGUAACGCGUGAGCAACCUGCCUUUCAGAGGGGGACAACGGUUGGAAACGACCGCUAAUACCGCAUGAAGCAUCGGGGUCGCAUGGCCCUGAUGUUAAAGAUUUAUCGCUGAAAGAUGGGCUCGCGUCUGAUUAGAUAGUUGGCGGGGUAACGGCCCACCAAGUCGACGAUCAGUAGCCGGACUGAGAGGGUGAACGGCCACAUUGGGACUGAGACACGGCCCAAACUCC
rnacentral:rRNA from 1 species